UACGAAGGGGGCGAGCGUUGUUCGGAGUUACUGGGCGUAAAGGGCGCGUAGGCGGCGAUCCAAGUUAGGCGUGAAAGCCCCGGGCUUAACCUGGGAAUUGCGCUUAAGACUGGAUUGCUUGAAUCCGGGAGAGGGAUGUGGAAUUCCAGGUGUAGCGGUGAAAUGCGUAGAUAUCUGGAGGAACAUCGGUGGCGAAGGCGGCAUCCUGGACCGGUAUCGACGCUGAGGCGCGAAAGCCAGGGGAGCAAACGGG
rnacentral:rRNA from 1 species